rnacentral:rRNA from 1 species
UACGAAGGGGGCUAGCGUUGCUCGGAAUCACUGGGCGUAAAGGGCGCGUAGGCGGCUACUCAAGUCGGGGGUGAAAGCCCGGGGCUCAACCCCGGAACUGCCCUCGAAACUAGGUAGCUAGAAUCUUGGAGAGGUCAGUGGAAUUCCGAGUGUAGAGGUGAAAUUCGUAGAUAUUCGGAAGAACACCAGUGGCGAAGGCGACUGACUGGACAAGUAUUGACGCUGAGGUGCGAAAGCGUGGGGAGCAAACAGG